AAGACCUUGCACUUUUGGAGCGGCCGAUGUCUGAUUAGCUAGUUGGUGGGGUAAUGGCCUACCAAAGCUUCGAUCAGUAGCUGGUCUGAGAGGACGGCCAGCCACACUGGGACUGAGACACGGCCCAGACUCCUACGGGAGGCAGCAGUGGGGAAUUUUGGACAAUGGGCGCAAGCCUGAUCCAGCCAUGCCGCGUGAGUGAAGAAGGCCUUCGGGUUGUAAAGCUCUUUCAGCCGGGAAGAAAAGGUUGCGACUAAUAAUCGCAAUCCAUGACGGUACCGGAAGAAGAAGCACCGGCUAACUACGUGCCAGCAGCCGCGGUAAUACGUAGGGUGCGAGCGUUAAUCGGAAUUACUGGGCGUAAAGGGUGCGCAGGCGGUUUUGUAAGUCAGAUGUGAAAUCCCCGGGCUUAACCUGGGGACU
rnacentral:rRNA from 1 species